AUAUCAACUUAACCAAGUAAUCUCCUGGUAUCUACAGUACUGUGCUCCAACUGUAGGGUCCAGGGCAGAAUUGUUUUCUGUGCUGUUUUCCUGGGAGGCAUCUGUGUUUCUCUGGUGGCAACCCUCCAUUGUUAUGUAUCAUUCUUCUCCCUUUCAUCUGACUCCCCUAAAACUUCCUUAUGGGGGGAGGUGAGUCAGGGGUAGGGAUAGGAUCAGAUAUGUGAUGAUAAACAGAGGCUCAGAAAAUUGACCACAGGUAUGUAGCAAUGGAAGAUGAGGAACUGGAGGUAGCCACCAGCAAGUCCCAGAUGCCAGGAAAGUAAGAGGCUCCCAGAACACAACAGGGAUGAGAUCCGCUGAAGUACCCAACAAAGAACCCUGAUCCCAACUCAGAUAGACUCCAGCUGCUCAGAAAUUGUCCUCACCACUCACCUACAAGAACAGGAGAUCACCUGGGGUGGAGCCUGCCUCCCUGGAUCACUCUAUUGUUCUGCCAUUGCUGCUGCUGCUACCUGCUGCCUAGAUGUUCUGGAACCUACACGUGGUCACCUGCAGCUGGACUCCAAGGAUGAUUUGGUGGAAAUUCUCCCCCUUCUUUAUAAGACGUGUUCCCCCACAUUAAAGUUGAGCUUUGAUC
rnacentral:lncRNA from 1 species